rnacentral:rRNA from 1 species
GAUGAACGCUAGCUACAGGCUUAACACAUGCAAGUCGAGGGGCAGCAUAACGAAAGCUUGCUUUUGUUGAUGGCGACCGGCGCACGGGUGAGUAACGCGUAUCCAACCUUCCCUAUAGUAGAGAAUAGCCCGGCGAAAGUCGGAUUAAUGCUCUAUGUUGUAUUUAGAGGACAUCUGAAGAAUACCAAAGGUUUACCGCUAUAGGAUGGGGAUGCGUCUGAUUAGGUAGUAGGCGGGGUAACGGCCCACCUAGCCGACGAUCAGUAGGGGUUCUGAGAGGAAGGUCCCCCACAUUGGAACUGAGACACGGUCCAAACUCCUACGGGAGGCAGCAGUGAGGAAUAUUGGUCAAUGGACGGAAGUCUGAACCAGCCAAGUAGCGUGCAGGAUGACGGCCCUAUGGGUUGUAAACUGCUUUUAUAUAGGGAUAAAGUCGGGGACGUGUCCCCGUUGUAG